UUAAGCGACUAAGCGUACACGGUGGAUGCCCUGGCAGUCAGAGGCGAUGAAGGGCGUGCUAAUCUGCGAUAAGCGCCGGUAAGGUGAUAUGAACCGUUAUAACCGGCGAUACCCGAAUGGGGAAACCCAGUGUGACUCGUCACACUAUCAUUAACUGAAUCCAUAGGUUAAUGAGGCGAACCGGGGGAACUGAAACAUCUAAGUACCCCGAGGAAAAGAAAUCAACCGAGAUUCCCCCAGUAGCGGCGAGCGAACGGGGAGGAGCCCAGAGCCUGAAUCAGCAUGUGUGUUAGUGGAAGCGUCUGGAAAGGCGCGCGAUACAGGGUGACAGCCCCGUACACAAAAGCGCAUGUGCUGUGAGCUCGAUGAGUAGGGCGGGACACGUGGUAUCCUGUCUGAAUAUGGGGGGACCAUCCUCCAAGGCUAAAUACUCCUGACUGACCGAUAGUGAACCAGUACCGUGAGGGAAAGGCGAAAAGAACCCCGGCGAGGGGAGUGAAAAAGAACCUGAAACCGUGUACGUACAAGCAGUGGGAGCCCCACCACCAAAGCGUUUCGCUUUGUGUGGUGCACAAAGAAGCGUAACGACAGCACUGAAUGACGGUUAACGGAGCGCAAGCGACGUUCAACAUACAAAGUCAAGCAGUGGAGCGCUUUGGGGUGGGGUGACUGCGUACCUUUUGUAUAAUGGGUCAGCGACUUAUAUUCUGUAGCAAGGUUAACCGAAUAGGGGAGCCGGAGGGAAACCGAGUCUUAACCGGGCGUUAAGUUGCAGGGUAUAGACCCGAAACCCGGUGAUCUAGCCAUGGGCAGGUUGAAGGUUGGGUAACACUAACUGGAGGACCGAACCGACUAAUGUUGAAAAAUUAGCGGAUGACCUGUGGCUGGGGGUGAAAGGCCAAUCAAACCGGGAGAUAGCUGGUUCUCCCCGAAAGCUAUUUAGGUAGCGCCUCGUGAAUUCAUCUCCGGGGGUAGAGCACUGUUUCGGCUAGGGGGCCAUCCCGGCUUACCAACCCGAUGCAAACUGCGAAUACCGGAGAAUGUUAUCACGGGAGACACACGGCGGGUGCUAACGUCCGUCGUGAAGAGGGAAACAACCCAGACCGCCAGCUAAGGUCCCAAAGUCAUGGUUAAGUGGGAAACGAUGUGGGAAGGCCCAGACAGCCAGGAUGUUGGCUUAGAAGCAGCCAUCAUUUAAAGAAAGCGUAAUAGCUCACUGGUCGAGUCGGCCUGCGCGGAAGAUGUAACGGGGCUAAACCAUGCACCGAAGCUGCGGCAGCGACGCUUAUGCGUUGUUGGGUAGGGGAGCGUUCUGUAAGCCUGUGAAGGUGGCCUGUGAGGGUUGCUGGAGGUAUCAGAAGUGCGAAUGCUGACAUAAGUAACGAUAAAGCGGGUGAAAAGCCCGCUCGCCGGAAGACCAAGGGUUCCUGUCCAACGUUAAUCGGGGCAGGGUGAGUCGACCCCUAAGGCGAGGCCGAAAGGCGUAGUCGAUGGGAAACGGGUUAAUAUUCCCGUACUUGGUGUUACUGCGAAGGGGGGACGGAGAAGGCUAUGUUGGCCGGGCGACGGUUGUCCCGGUUUAAGCGUGUAGGUGUGUGUUCCAGGUAAAUCCGGUUCACUUUAACACUGAGGCGUGAUGACGAGGCACUACGGUGCUGAAGCAACAAAUGCCCUGCUUCCAGGAAAAGCCUCUAAGCAUCAGGUAACAUCAAAUCGUACCCCAAACCGACACAGGUGGUCAGGUAGAGAAUACCAAGGCGCUUGAGAGAACUCGGGUGAAGGAACUAGGCAAAAUGGUGCCGUAACUUCGGGAGAAGGCACGCUGACANGUAGGUGAAGUGAUUUACUCAUGGAGCUGAAGUCAGUCGAAGAUACCAGCUGGCUGCAACUGUUUAUUAAAAACACAGCACUGUGCAAACACGAAAGUGGACGUAUACGGUGUGACGCCUGCCCGGUGCCGGAAGGUUAAUUGAUGGGGUCAGCGCAAGCGAAGCUCCUGAUCGAAGCCCCGGUAAACGGCGGCCGUAACUAUAACGGUCCUAAGGUAGCGAAAUUCCUUGUCGGGUAAGUUCCGACCUGCACGAAUGGCGUAAUGAUGGCCAGGCUGUCUCCACCCGAGACUCAGUGAAAUUGAACUCGCUGUGAAGAUGCAGUGUACCCGCGGCAAGACGGAAAGACCCCGUGAACCUUUACUAUAGCUUGACACUGAACAUUGAGCCUUGAUGUGUAGGAUAGGUGGGAGGCUUUGAAGUGUGGACGCCAGUCUGCAUGGAGCCGACCUUGAAAUACCACCCUUUAAUGUUUGAUGUUCUAACGUGGACCCGUGAUCCGGGUUGCGGACAGUGUCUGGUGGGUAGUUUGACUGGGGCGGUCUCCUCCUAAAGAGUAACGGAGGAGCACGAAGGUUGGCUAAUCCUGGUCGGACAUCAGGAGGUUAGUGCAAUGGCAUAAGCCAGCUUGACUGCGAGCGUGACGGCGCGAGCAGGUGCGAAAGCAGGUCAUAGUGAUCCGGUGGUUCUGAAUGGAAGGGCCAUCGCUCAACGGAUAAAAGGUACUCCGGGGAUAACAGGCUGAUACCGCCCAAGAGUUCAUAUCGACGGCGGUGUUUGGCACCUCGAUGUCGGCUCAUCACAUCCUGGGGCUGAAGUAGGUCCCAAGGGUAUGGCUGUUCGCCAUUUAAAGUGGUACGCGAGCUGGGUUUAGAACGUCGUGAGACAGUUCGGUCCCUAUCUGCCGUGGGCGCUGGAGAACUGAGGGGGGCUGCUCCUAGUACGAGAGGACCGGAGUGGACGCAUCACUGGUGUUCGGGUUGUCAUGCCAAUGGCACUGCCCGGUAGCUAAAUGCGGAAGAGAUAAGUGCUGAAAGCAUCUAAGCACGAAACUUGCCCCGAGAUGAGUUCUCCCUGAGACUUAGAGUCUCCUGAAGGAACGUUGAAGACGACGACGUUGAUAGGCCGGGUGUGUAAGCGCAGCGAUGCGUUGAGCUAACCGGUACUAAUGAACCGUGAGGCUUAACCUU
rnacentral:rRNA from 1 species